rnacentral:misc_RNA from 1 species
CUUUAUCUAGUUUGGUUUGUUGGAUUGUUGUAAAGCAAAAAUCAAAGCGUGAGAAUCUACAAUCAUAUGACAAAAAAUGAGAACUUUUGUGUUUUUCUCCCUGAUAUUUGCUACUGGACAAGCUGUUGCUCUUGAAGAUGAAACGAUAAGAAACAUACUGAAUGAAUUAAACACCUUAAAAACGAUUGUUGCUGAACAGCAAUCGAAAAUUCAAUUACUGGAGAAGAAACUGGAAUCGGUUUCCGAACAGAACCGGAAGACAGAGUUUAAUUUCAACACAGAUCCGGAAGUACUCAGAGAAAAGAUGAACCCGUCACAGACAAAGGUUCCGGAGACUUUUAAAAAGACUAAUGCAGUCUCAAAUACACAUUUUGGAGGAAGAAGAAAUGCUAGGUUACUUUCCUCAUCUCCGUCAACGCAAAACGUCGGAUUUACGGCAUCACGACAAGAUAGUUCUACCGUUCACGAAAACGGAAUUAUCGUAUUCGAAACAACAAUAACGAACGGGGAUCGGCAUACAACCCAACGACUGGGAUCUUCCAGGCGCCAGUCAGUGGUUUGUACGUUUUUUUCUAUGACAUCGAGUGCUCCAAAACUAAUGGAAACACAUACGUAGAACUUGUCAGAGACGGGGCUCGAACAGGGGUCCAGGCGUAUUGUCACGGACUCGGGGAUUUCGAUAACAGCGCCACCUUGGGAGUUUUGCAUCUGGGUGCUGGAGACACGGUCUGGCUUAGAUUGUACGAUGUGGACAAUAUAACAUUUGGAGGAAAAACGCUCUUUUCUGGCUUUUUACUUUGAAGCUAGAAUUCUAAUAAUGAAUCGUUCGGAUGAUAAAAACUUAUAUUUGGUUCUCACCUUGAAAACCCAAAUUUGACAGCAAAUCACAAAAUGGGGUGGGGUGUCUUUAUUUGGUUUGUAACUUUGAGGCUAGAAUUCUGACAAGGCGUCGUUUGGAGAAAAAACAUUAUAUAAAUUGAUUUCUUGCUUAGAAGAUGUGAUAUAUACUUAAAAUGUGAUUGCAAUAAACGAAUUGUCUCAAUG